AGAGUGAACGCUGGCGGCAGGCCUAACACAUGCAAGUCGAACGGCAGCACAGCAGAGCUUGCUCUGUGGGUGGCGAGUGGCGGACGGGUGAGGAAUACGUCGGAAUCUGCCUUUUUGUGGGGGAUAACGUAGGGAAACUUACGCUAAUACCGCAUACGCCCUACGGGGAAGGGGGGAUUCUUCGGAACCUCUCACUAUUGGAGCGGCCGAUAUCAGAUUAGCUAGUUGGUGAGGUAAAGGCUCACCAAGGCGACGAUCUGUAGCUGGUUUGAGAGGACGACCAGCCACACUGGGACUGAGACACGGCCCAGACUCCUACGGGAGGCAGCAGUGGGGAAUUUUGGACAAUGGGGGAAACCUGAUCCAGCCAUCCCGCGUGUAGCGAUGGAAGGCCGUUGGUUGUAAGCGUACUUUUGGCGUAAGGGAAGAAACGGCGUGACCCGUAAGUACCGGACGUCACCGUAGACGGUACCUGCAGAACUAAG
rnacentral:rRNA from 1 species